UCAAAUAUCAAAUGAGUGUUAGACUAAAAUUAAUUAGUCCUUAUUUGGAAUUCAUUAUUUAUGAUUGAAUUAAUCGCUCGAGAUAAAAUUCUCUUGAAUUAAUUUUGAGUAAGUGGGUUUGUAUGUAAAUCCUCAAGUUUAUUAAAUUAAUUAAUCUCUCGAUUAAUUAAUACCAAUAAUUAAAUCUACGGGUUUAAUUAAAGUGAAUGAGUUUAUGAAAGAGAGAAGGAAAAUAGGAUGCAUAUCCUAAGAGCAUAUCAUCCGCUAUUGUUAUUUCUUUGAAGCUAAAUAGUUUAUUAUCUUUUAUUGGACAAGGUCCAUCGCAAGGAAUUUAACUCCAAGUGGGUUAAUAUUGUCAUACGGAGUAAGAAGCAUACGAGGUUGAGCUCUGAUGGAGUGGAGUGUGCUGAAUCAACUAUCUUAUCCUACUACUGUAUGCCGAAUAAAGAAAUCUACCCUACUAGUGUGUACUACUCUCGGAGGUUCAUGUCUUCAUACAUGUAACCGCGUUCCAGUCGCUUCCGCUGUUUUAUUCCAUAAAUUGAGAUCCCUAUUUCUAAAGAAACUCUGAUGUGUGCUAUGUUGUAUUGUAAGAACCUUAACUCGAUUUUGCAUAAUCGAGUAUUGAUUAAGCGAGUAUUGUGUGUGAAAAUCCUUUUUAUCUAAA